rnacentral:rRNA from 1 species
AUUGAACGCUGGCGGCAGGCCUAACACAUGCAAGUCGAACGAGUGGCGGACGGGUGAGUAAUGUCUGGGAAACUGCCCGAUGGUGGGGGAUAACUACUGGAAACGGUAGCUAAUCUCGCAUACUAUCGGAUGUGCCCAGAUGGGAUUAGCUAGUAGGUGGGGUAACGGCUCACCUAGGCGACGGUCCCUAGCUGGUCUGAGAGGGUGACCAGCCACACUGGAACUGAGACACGGUCCAGCAUCCUACGGUAGGCAGCAUUAGGGAAUAUUGGACAAUGGGCGCAAGCCUGAUGUAGCCAUGCCGCGUGUAUGAAGAAGGCCUUCGGAUUGUAAAGUACUUUCAGCGAGGAAGCGUUACUCAAAGAAGAAGCACCGGCUAACUCCGUGCCAGCAGCCGCGGUAAUUC